rnacentral:lncRNA from 10 species
GAGUUUCUAUCACUGUUUGGUCUGCUGUGCAGAGGUCGCCCCUUUAUGGAAGGCAUGCAUUCUCCAGUUUGCUACUGUGCCCACCUCAGUACUUCCCUUACUCAGGGAAAAUAAGUGCAUUUGAAGCCAGUCUCUCUUACUUCAGAGGUCAUUUCUAUAAUCACCCGUUUGGAGCAGCAGUGCCCGACAUCGGCAUCUGGGAUCCUGACACGAUUGAUAGAACCGAAUCAAGCAAGUAUGUACUACCCAGAGGAAACCUCCACCUAUAUUGGGAAGUGCUGGCAACUGUUUCUCUGAAACUCUUCAUUCCUCAAACGUUAAUAUUUGCCACAAAUAGUAUUAUCAAAUGGGGAUCAGGUAAAAUUCAAGAGAUUUCCUGAUUCUUGGACAUAAAAUACAGUUUUGUAAUAUUCCUCAAAUGCAGAUGGUCAUGGGGUCUUUCUCUUGGGGUAUAAUACUUCUGGUAAAGCAAAUAUUCUUUGGAAUACAGUUUAAGAAACACUGCUUUAGAGAGAAUAAUUCAGAUCAUUAAUUUAUGUAAAAAACUUAAAGUACUUGCUACUAUGUCUUAGGGUUUUGGGGCCAUAGAGACAAAAGAUACAGCCCUUGCCCUCAAGAAGCUCUUGGUUUCAGAGGGAAACAAUGAAAUGAUUACAAUGUACCAUGCUAAGUGCUGUGAUCGAAGCAAGGAUUCUUGGGUCUGGUAAAUGUUUAAAGUGAGUUUUGGCAAUGAGCACAGUUAAUCCGGGGAGACAGACGAGGGUUGUUUGCAAGGCAGCGACCAGCACGUCAGAAAGCAUGGAGGAGUGAGAAGGAAGGGCCUGCUUUCCAUUGACUUCCUUUCUCUAUUGUAUUUUUAAGUUCAAAACAUCUUAGGUAAGAUCCUCGGCUCAGUGGAGAAAUACGUAAUUUUGUUAAUUACUAAUUUUUUUCUGCUGUUUUAUAGGACAAUACCACCCCACUUUUAUUCGCUGUGAUUUGCAAGAAAGAGAA